UAAAUGAAUGCGGCUGAAGCGUCUCUGUGCUGCUCCCCCCUCAGUGCCAGUAAGGGACAUUCUCCCCCACAGACUCACACUGACACUGAGCGGGGGCACUUACACAAACACACACGUUACUGACAGAGCCUGACCUGCUCAUACUGUUACUUCCUGUUCCUCCUGCACAACUUCCGCCUCUAUACUCCGCCCACCUGGAACCCCGCCCACCUGGAACUCACCGGAUCUGAUUCUGCGCCUUCCGCCCCGCCCACAACUUCACCUGUGUCAGAGCUUUGGCAGAGACAGAAAGCUUUAGCAAAACAUUCUGGGGAAAGUCUAAUUCUGAGGUUCCGACCCAGAGUUCUGGUACCCGAGAGAUUCGAGAGCUGCCCAAGGAGAGGUCUAUGAUCCAGUCUUGUCAUGGGAAAUACGAGCAAACAAAGCGACUGUCAGGGUGCUGGAUAUCCAAAGCCUCGCUAGAUUAUUACACUCGGCUAGGCAGCUUUCAUUACUGCUAUCGACGUGGCAUUCCUGUACAUACACAGUGGCGUGGAACAAUGGAACGUUUCAUUGGCGGGGCCCCCCUGCGGCAUGCUGCUUUACCAGUUUACUGCGGAGGCACAAACAAGUCUAAUGCAGGGGAAGGAGUUAUGGGCACACACAAUAUACCCCCGCCUUGUACAUAAUACAGGCCUUUGUGUGCCACAUUCUGCGCUUUGUGCCCCAAGAACAAACAUCAUUUCCAUCAGCAGCGAGAGUGACAUUGGCACUGGUUGUUCUGUAUGUAGAAUAAAUAAAAUGUCCCCAAGGUUGAUGUUUAAGGUUU